rnacentral:rRNA from 1 species
UACGGAGGGUGCAAGCGUUAAUCGGAAUUACUGGGCGUAAAGCGUGCGUAGACGGUUGCGUAAGUCAGAUGUGAAAGCCCCGGGCUCAACCUGGGAAUUGCAUUUGAGACUGCGUAGCUAGGGUGCGGAAGAGGGAAGCGGAAUUUCCGGUGUAGCGGUGAAAUGCGUAGAUAUCGGAAGGAACACCAGUGGCGAAGGCGGCUUCCUGGGCCAGAACCGACGUUCAGGCGCGAAAGCGUGGGGAGCAAACAGG